UACGUAGGGGGCAAGCGUUGUUCGGAUUUACUGGGCGUAAAGGGCGCGUAGGCGGCUUGACAAGUCACUUGUGAAAUCUCCGGGCUUAACUCGGAACGGCCAAGUGAAACUGUCAUGCUAGAGUGCAGAAGGGGCAAUCGGAAUUCUUGGUGUAGCGGUGAAAUGCGUAGAUAUCAAGAGGAACACCUGAGGUGAAGACGGGUUGCUGGGCUGACACUGACGCUGAGGCGCGAAAGCCAGGGGAGCAAACGGG
rnacentral:rRNA from 1 species